GCAGUGGUGGUUAGGUGGGAGAAUUCUUGCCUUCUGUGCUGGAGGCCUGGGUUCAAGUCUUGGCCAAUGUA
rnacentral:tRNA from 1 species